GGUUAUAAAACAACAAAAUUAGCACCGAGAUACUGUUAAUUGGAUACUUUAGUGUCACUCGAUUACCUAAUCAUUACCGAUAUGGAAUUAUUCUGUUGGGGAAGAUUUAACAAUAUUUUUUGCUAGCCUGCCUAUCCCGAUAAGAAUAAUGGCCAAUGGCAUUACAUCCAGUGACAUCCUAUCCUCUCCACAGGAAGAGUAUGGGCUUACUUAUCCUCUAUAUAUCUGGCUGGGUUGACCCUUUUCUUCAAGCUUAAGUAGGUUAAACCCUUACGUCUCAUCAAAAGAAUUACCCCUCUAGACUUCUAGGGGAACUUCCAAUCUACAACAGGUAAAUCCACUCGAAAUAGAGAAAAUCCCAGGCCUAAGUCAUUCAUAAUGGUACAUGCUGCAGCAAACUCUUACUGAAAUAUGUUUUACUAGCAAUUGCAGUCACUGUGAUCUUCAUUAGAAGUUGAAACAAAGGACUCGAAACUGGGAAACCAAAAAAAUUUACGUCAGGCAACAUGGAGGAGAAUUUUCUUCCUUACAAGAAGCAAAAGAUGGAUUUAAACAUAUAACAGCCCAUGAUGAGACACUUCCCAGCUUCUAGGCUACUAACCCUUACAUUCAAAAUUCAUUAGAAUCUUCUGACAGUGAUCCCAACUCAAACUAUACUCUUAUGAUAACUUCCUCUCAUUUUGAAUCCAUUCCAAUGUUGGUAGCUUUAACUUUUCAAUUGGAUUUGGUUUUAGUUUUGAGAUCCUGCAAAACUAAUAAUGUCACUGAGGAGAUACUGGAAAGGUCAAAAUCUCAACCUAAAAAGUUAAAAUCACAGCUAGCUGCAACACAG
rnacentral:misc_RNA from 1 species